UACGUAGGGGGCAAGCGUUGUCCGGAUUUACUGGGCGUACAGCGCUUGCAGGCGGUUUAUUGCGUCUGCUGUGAAAUUUCGGGGCUCAACCCCGAACUUGCAGUGGGUACGGGCAGACUAGAGUGUGGUAGGGGAGACUGGAAUUCCUGGUGUAGCGGUGAAAUGCGCAGAUAUCAGGAGGAACACCGAUGGCGAAGGCAGGUCUCUGGGCCACUACUGACGCUGAGAAGCGAAAGCAUGGGGAGCGAACAGG
rnacentral:rRNA from 1 species